rnacentral:rRNA from 1 species
UUUAAAAAUAAUUAAUUUAUUUAUUUAUAAUAAAAAUAAUUUUAAUAGAAAUUUUUAAGUAAUGUUUAAUGAAUAAAUAAAUUAAAUGAUAAAGAAUUAUAGUAUUGAAUAAAAAAUUUGAAAUAUUAUGAAAAAUUUUAAUUUGAAAAUAAGAUUUUAUUAAUCGUAUUUUGUGUUUCAAAGUAAAUUAAUUAAAAAAUUUUUAAUAAAUUUUUUUCGAAUAUAUAAGAUUUAAUAAAUUAAAAAUUUUAAUGUUUUAUAAUUAUAUUAAAUAAUUUAUUAGAAAUAAAAAGUUAAUCGUUUAUAUAAUUAUCUAAUUUUUUAAGAAAUAAUUUUAAAUUAUUUGAAAAAAUCUUUAAAUUAAAUUAUAAAUUUAUAGAAUUUUUUACAAGUAUAUAAUAAGGGAUAAGCUUUAUUAUAAAUUUUUAAAAAUAUUAUUAAAUAAAAAUAAUAUAAAUUUAAAAUUAGUUUAUAUUGAUAAAAAUGUUAUAAUUUAUUUUUGAAAUUUUUAAUAUUUAGUAAUAUUUUAAUUUUUUUAUUAAAAAAUAAAAUUUAAUUUAAUUUUUUUAAGUAUAAUGAUUUAAUUAGUAAUUAUAAUUAAUUAAAUAUAAAAUUUUUAAUUAAAUUAAAAUAAAAAGAAUUCGGCAAAUAUAAUUUUCACUUGUUUAUCAAAAACAUGUCUUUUUGAAUUAAUGAAAAGUUUGACCUGCCCGGUGAUUUUUUUUAACGGCCGCGGUACAUUGACCGUGCGAAGGUAGCAUAAUCAUUUGUCUUUUAAUUGGAGGCUUGCAUGAAUGGUUGGAUGAGAAAUUAACUAUUUUUAUUUUAAUAAAAAUGAAUUUUAAUUUUUAGUAAAAAUGCUAAAAUAUAAAAUUUAGACGAGAAGACCCUAUAAAUCUUUAUUUUAAUUAAUAAUUAGAUUUUUUAGAAUAGCAAAAUUAAAUUAUUAUUUAAAAUUUUAUUGGGGUGAUAAUGAAAUUUAUUUAACUUUUAUUUAUUUUUACAAUUAUAUUUGUUUUAAUGAUCCAUUAUUAAUGAUUAAAAAAUUAAGUUACUUUAGGGAUAACAGCGUAAUUAUUUUUGAGAGUUCUUAUCGAUAAAAUAGAUUGCGACCUCGAUGUUGAAUUAAGAGUAAUUUUAGAUGCAGCAGUUUAAAGUUUAAGUCUGUUCGACUUUUAAAUUCUUACAUGAUUUGAGUUCAGACCGGCGUGAGCCAGGUUGGUUUCUAUCUGUUUUAAAAUUUUAUUUGUUAGUACGAAAGGACCAUGAAUAAAAAAAAUUUUUUAUUAAAAGAAGAAUAAUAAAUUUAUAUAA